rnacentral:rRNA from 1 species
GGAGGUGGCAAGCGUUGUUCGGAAUUACUGGGCGUAAAGGGCGCGCAGGCGGUUCGUCAAGUCCCGUGUGAAAUCCCCCGGCUCAACUGGGGAACUGCGCGGGAAACUAGCGGACUUGAGUUCGGGAGAGGAAAGCGGAAUUCCGGGUGUAGCGGUGAAAUGCGCAGAUAUCCGGAGGAACACCAGUGGCGAAGGCGGCUUUCUGGACCGACACUGACGCUGAGGCGCGAAAGCUAGGGGAGCGAACGGGAUUAGAUACCCCGGGUAGUCCUAGCCCUAAACGAUGAGCACUGGGUGUAGGGGGUAUGAACCCCCCCCCCUGUGCCGAAGCUAACGCAUUAAGUGCUCCGCCUGGGGAGUACGGCCGCAAGGCUG